rnacentral:rRNA from 1 species
GACGAACGCUGGCGGCGUGCUUAACACAUGCAAGUCGAACGGAAAGGCCCUGCUUUUGUGGGGUGCUCGAGUGGCGAACGGGUGAGUAACACGUGAGUAACCUGCCCUUGACUUUGGGAUAACUUCAGGAAACUGGGGCUAAUACCGGAUAGGAGCUCCUGCUGCAUGGUGGGGGUUGGAAAGUUUCGGCGGUUGGGGAUGGACUCGCGGCUUAUCAGCUUGUUGGUGGGGUAGUGGCUUACCAAGGCUUUGACGGGUAGCCGGCCUGAGAGGGUGACCGGCCACAUGGGGACUGAGAUACGGCCCAGACUCCUACGGGAGGCAGCAGUGGGAAUAUUGCACAAUGGGCGGAAGCCUGAUGCAGCAACGCCGCGUGCGGGAUGACGGCCUUCGGGUUGUAAACCGCUUUCGCCUGUGACGAAGCGUGAGUGACGGUAAUGGGUAAAGAAGCACCGGCUAACUACGUG